UUUUUGGCUUUCUUUUUUUACUUUUGUUUAUACUAUGAAAUAUUCCAAAUACAUAUAUACAUCUCUACUCCUAAUAGAGGAGUCCGUACAUCCUUUCAUUCGUUCGCUCACCCCCUCACUCCCUUACCUCCACCAGAUCCCAUCCCCACUGAUUUUUUAUCUCCCAUGAAAAACCGGUACGCAUCAAACCAGGGAGAAAAAACCCACGCUUUUCUAAUCAAAUCCAAUUUUUUUAUCUCCCCUAAAAAACGGUAGGCAUCAACCCAGGAAGAAAAAACCUACGCUUUCCUAAUCAAAUCAAUAUAUACUUCCACAUUUUCCUAAUCAAAUCAAAUCCGAUUGAUAUAUUGAUUAGAUUAGGAAACAAAACUUCUCUCCAUUGAUUAGUACAAUCAAAUCAAAUCAAAUCGAACCAACGCAGUAUCUCCCAUCGAUUUUCUUCACGAUCGCCCCCUUGUCCCGCACGAAAACACCUGGCCCAUGCAUGACCCGCAAAAAAAACAGAGAACCAAUCCACCUUGCCUCCCAUCCUCGCUUCUCCUAUCGACCUAUCCCUAGGGCGAACUGCUCCUCCGCCUCCGCCGCCGCCUACGCUGUGGGGAGAGGCCGCUGCUAUGAAUGCGCAAGAGGACGAAGGGGGCAAGGCAGCUCCAACGACAACCGCGGUCGCUGCUGAUUCAGGGCUUCAGGGCCGCGCAUGGUGUCGUCUCCGCCACCGUACAUGCGUGGAGAUGAGGCGGUGACUCGUGCUGCGGAGGGUUGGCGUGUACGAGCUCGUCGUUGGGAGGAGGUGGGCGGCCGAGGGCGUAUACGGGCAUAAGGAGCAGUUGCAGCCAUAGAUCGAGAUGGUGCUACCUCUCUGGAACCAUGCUCUCAGGUAAGCCUAUGUAAAUGCCCCUUAGGACGAUAGUAAGAUCUCCUUAUGUGUGGACAAGGCGUGGCUUGGGGAUCUGCUGAUGUUCUCCAGGCCAAGACGGUGUUGUAUAGUACUCCAUUCUGAUGCUACCGGACAUGAGUUGACUGUUGCAAAAAAUCACCGUUCUGAUGCUAUAAUGGCGAGAAUUUGGUAUUCGUGUGCCUCUCCUAAUUUCUGAAGAGUAUGAUUAUCGUUGCCUCUAAAAGGACAGAUCACAAAAAAUCAGCCCAAAUUAUGCAUCAGGGACAAAAUAUAGUACCUUGGCCUCUUACAGAACAUGGCGUCAAGCAUUGAGGCAGCCGCAUGACCAAGACGAGUUUUUGAGACUUAGAAGGUGUCAAGGGCGCCGGCCUGUCCACUCGAAGAGCGGACCGAAGGCAUCCUUUAUGAUUCCUUACAGUGAGAUCUUUUAUGAUUCUUCUCCAUGUUUUCAAUCUCAGUUGCAUGGGCCAGAUCCUUUAUGAUUUUAUUGUGUAUGCUCCAAUAUAAGCAGAAGCACUCUUGUUUUCACAUGAUAUUUUCCUAGUUUUUCUAUACACACACUAAUUAAAAAACUCGAUUUUGUAUCUCACUUCCUGUUAUGAUGAAACGACACCACACUUUCUAUACUUUCUGGAGCGUGCAACACUUUCACAUUGGAAUGGAACACAUUUUUCUCAAAUAUCCGCAUGUUCAGCACUUGAUGAUUUUUGCUUAGCAAAUUGCAAAGCAUAAGAUAAAGAGGCAGAGUUACAAUCAUAAUGACCUUCAGAGUUUACUUUAUCCAAAACUACCAAAGUUUACUUUAUCUCUCUAGAAUACAGUAGUCCUUGCAAGGAUUGAGCUGGCGAAAGGCGAGCCUACUAACUCAUACAUCAGCCAUAUAGGACACUGGAGCUUAUUUUUGGUGUUACUGUGUACACAAUAACAGUUGACAGUUUAUCACUUCUCACUGGUAACCUGCAAGAAUAGUUUUUAUAUGAAAAUUAUAUGAUUUUGCACAUGUCUAAUGCAUCUAUUUUUUUGGCACAUGGGCACAGCGGUAGGAAUUAUCCCCAGAUUGCGCCUCAGCUUGGGAAUCCAUCGGGGAUGCUACCGGUGCAAGCUAGGGACCUAGCGGCGGGGUACCUCGAAAGAACACAUGCUGAAGUACAAAGGAAGGAAAGAACCGCAACGGCGAUGUCGGUUGCUUUGUUGAUUCACUCGUGCCGCUAGGAGAAGCUACAGGGGAAGUACAUACGUGGCAUUGAAGAUAACGACGGUUGGGAGUAGGCAGCGCAGGGGGUUGCUGGGGAACAGGAGGGGCAACUUUCGGAGGAACCACUGCGGUGAUGCGAGCUCCCUCUCGCCAGCAUCCUCGACAUUGCUUGCUUGCCCACGUCACUAGAAAGAACGCGCGGACAGAAGAACAAAGAUGCCUCGCAAGUACAACUGGAGAAAGAAAAACUAUUGGAGUUCUUUUUUUAGAUGAAAUCUAUUGGAGUUGUGUCAGCAUAGAGAGAUAGUUUUUUUCCUAUAUGGGCAGGGAAAAUAUACCACUUUGUUUUUGUGCAAAGUGAGGUCUGUUAAGGAGACACGAAUACGGUCAGGGAGGAAAGAAGUGGAAGGGAGAAUCUAGGAAUGAAAAUUAUACGUCAUCGUGUUUAACUAACAUUUUUUAUUAAUAUAAUUAUUUAAUCAAUAUGUUAAUAUAUUUUUAGUCUGUGUCAACCCACGGAAAUUGGUCGGUAGUUACAAAUCAUAAUCAUAUGAAGCGAGCUUGAUACAAUCUAAAUAUGUCUAUUUUAUGUGGUGCAAAGCUUGAAUGGAGGCAUUAUUGUUUGUGGUUAGAGAAAUGUUUUAUUUUCCGUAGUCGAAUAACACAAAUUUUGACAUUGCACUAUGUGCAUCUUUCAAUAUUUGUAGUACAUGCCAUCUCUCAUGAAUGGUGAGAACCAGUUAAUUUGAGAACCAAACAUACAAUAUGUCAUUUCUUGUAUUACAGGAGUACCAUUUCAUGUAUUUACUAAAGUUUAAGAAAGAUGGUUCACAAUGGUAAGCUGAGAUGACCGACUUUUGAACUGACAAUAAUGCUAGAGCAAGGCGAAUGAAGAGAAUGCUAAACAAUAAACUAAGAAUAGAGCGAAAGCUCAACUAACUAAUCACUAAAAACUGAAAAGAAUCUUUCAAAUCACUAAAAAGCUAUAAUAUGUGAAAGUACAAGAUUCUAAAUAGUCACUGGGCACG